rnacentral:tRNA from 1 species
GCCCGUGUAGCUCAGGCGGUAGAGCACUUGCAUGGUAAGCAAGAGGUCACCGGUUCAAUCCCGGUCGCGGGCU